GCUUAAAUAAUUUAAUUAAAAUAUUGGUCUUGUAAACCAAAAUUAAGGUAACCCCUUCUAAGCU
rnacentral:tRNA from 1 species